rnacentral:rRNA from 1 species
AGAGUUUGAUCCUGGCUCAGAGUGAACGCUGGCGGCGUGCCUAAUACAUGCAAGUCGAACGGACAAGUAAGAGCUUGCUCUUAUGAGUUAGUGGCGCACGGGUGAGUAAUGUAUAGCUAAUCUGCCCUACACUAGAGGACAACAGUUGGAGACGACUGCUAAUACUCUAUACUCCUCUCUAGCAUAAGUUAGAUAGGGAAAGUUUUUCGGUGUAGGAUGAGGCUAUAUUGUAUCAGCUAGUUGGUGAGGUAAUGGCUCACCAAGGCUAUGACGCAUAACUGGUCUGAGAGGAUGAUCAGUCACACUGGAACUGAGACACGGUCCAGACUCCUACGGGAGGCAGCAGUAGGGAAUAUUGCUCAAUGGGGGAAACCCUGAAGCAGCAACGCCGCGUGGAGGAUGACACUUUUCGGAGCGUAAACUCCUUUUGUUAGGGAAGAACAAUGACGGUACCUAACGAAUAAGCACCGGCUAACUCCGUGCCAGCAGCCGCGGU